GGGAAGGUGGCUCAGUGGUAGAGUGCUUGCCUUGCAUGCAUAAGGCACUAGGUUCGAUUCCUCAGUACCA
rnacentral:tRNA from 1 species